CAGGGAUUGCCUUAGUAGCGGCGAGUGAAGCGGCAAAAGCUCAAAUUUGAAAUCUGGCGCCUUCGGUGUCCGAGUUGUAAUUUGAAGAUUGUAACCUUGGGGUUGGCUCUUGUCUAUGUUUCUUGGAACAGGACGUCACAGAGGGUGAGAAUCCCGUGCGAUGAGAUGCCCAAUUCUAUGUAAGGUGCUUUCGAAGAGUCGAGUUGUUUGGGAAUGCAGCUCUAAGUGGGUGGUAAAUUCCAUCUAAAGCUAAAUAUUGGCGAGAGACCGAUAGCGAACAAGUACAGUGAUGGAAAGAUGAAAAGAACUUUGAAAAGAGAGUGAAAAAGUACGUGAAAUUGUUGAAAGGGAAGGGUUUGAGAUCAGACUCGAUAUUUUGUGAGCCUUGCCUUCGUGGCGGGGUGACCCGCAGCUUAUCGGGCCAGCAUCGGUUUGGGCGGUAGGAUAAUGGCGUAGGAAUGUGACUUUACUUCGGUGAAGUGUUAUAGCCUGCGUUGAUGCUGCCUGCCUAGACCGAGGACUGCGAUUUUAUCAAGGAUGCUGGCAUAAUGAUCCCAAACCGCCCGUC
rnacentral:rRNA from 1 species